UUUGGUAAUUGCAAUUACAAAAUAACAAAAAUAUACAUCUUGCAGCUUCUCGAUUCUUCUGCACGUUGUUAUAUAUUUUCUCCAUUAUACGAACGCACCCAUCUUCUUCAUCUCUGCUAUUGUUUUAGCUCCAGCUUUAAUCUCUCUCUAAUUCAACAGAGGGACAGAGACCGUGAAAGGGCUCAAGCUAGAGCGGGCAACAAGGGCAAGCAAGUGAAAGAUGAUGGAUUAACCCCUGAACAAAGAAGAGAGAGGGAUGCGAAGGCACUUCAAGAAAAGCUAGCGAAAAAGGCAGCAC